rnacentral:rRNA from 1 species
CAGUUUGGUUUGCUUGCAAACCAAAGCUGGCGACCGGCGCACGGGUGAGUAACACGUAUCCAACCUGCCUCAUACUCGGGGAUAGCCUUUCGAAAGAAAGAUUAAUAUCCGAUAGCAUAUAUUUCCCGCAUGGGUUUUAUAUUAAAGAAAUUCGGUAUGAGAUGGGGAUGCGUUCCAUUAGUUUGUUGGCGGGGUAACGGCCCACCAAGACUACGAUGGAUAGGGGUUCUGAGAGGAAGGUCCCCCACAUUGGAACUGAGACACGGUCCAAACUCCUACGGGAGGCAGCAGUGAGGAAUAUUGGUCAAUGGACGCGAGUCUGAACCAGCCAAGUAGCGUGAAGGAUGACUGCCCUAUGGGUUGUAAACUUCUUUUAUAUGGGAAUAAAGUGGUCCACGUGUGGAUUUUUGUAUGUACCAUAUGAAUAAGGAUCGGCUAACUCCGUGCCAGCAGCCGCGGUAAUACGGAGGAUCCGAGCGUUAUCCGGAUUUAUUGGGUUUAAAGGGAGCGUAGGCGGAUUGUUAAGUCAGUUGUGAAAGUUUGCGGCUCAACCGUAAAAUUGCAGUUGAUACUGGCAGUCUUGAGUGCAGUAGAGGUGGGCGGAAUUCGUGGUGUAGCGGUGAAAUGCUUAGAUAUCACGAAGACUCCGAUUGCGAAGGCAGCUCAC